rnacentral:rRNA from 1 species
GACGAACGCUGGCGGCGUGCUUAACACAUGCAAGUCGAACGGAAAGGCCCUGCUUUUGUGGGGUGUUCGAGUGGCGAACGGGUGAGUAACACGUGAGUAACCUGCCCUUGACUUUGGGAUAACCUCAGGAAACUGGGGCUAAUACCUGAUAGGAGCUCCUGCUGCAUGGUGGGGGUUGGAAAGUUUCGGCGGCUGGGGAUGGACUCGCGGCUCAUCAGCUUGUUGGUGGGGUAGUGGCUUACGAAGGCUUUGACGGGUAGCCGGCCUGAGAGGGUGACCGGCCACAUUGGGCCUGAGGUACGGCCCAGACUGCUACGGGAGGCAGCGGUGGGAAAUAUUGCACAAUAGGCGGCAGCCUGAUGCAGCGACGCCGCGUGCGGAAUGACGGCCUUCGGGUUGUAAACCGCUUUCGCCUAUGACGAAGCGUGAGUGACGGUAAUGGGUAAAGAAGCACCGGCUAACUACGUG